CCUACGGGUGGCAGCAGUGAGGAAUAUUGGUCAAUGGGCGGAAGCCUGAACCAGCCAAGUAGCGUGCAGGAUGACGGCCCUACGGGUUGUAAACUGCUUUUAUACGGGAAUAACGCGCCUUACGUGUACGGCUUUGCAUGUACCGUAUGAAUAAGGACCGGCUAAUUCCGUGCCAGCAGCCGCGGUAAUACGGAAGGUCCGGGCGUUAUCCGGUUUUAUUGGGUUUAAAGGGUGCGUAGGCGGAAGGUUAAGUAAGUGGUAAAAUGUCGGUGCUAAACGCCGCACUGCCGUUGAGACUGGUCGUCUUGAGUGAGCGAGAGGUAUGCGGAAUGCGUGGUGUAGCGGUGAAAUGCAUAGAUAUCACGCAGAACUCCGAUUGCGAAGGCAGCAUACCGGAGCUCAACUGACGCUGAGGCACGAAAGCGUGGGGAUCGAACAGGAUUAGAUACCCGGGUAGUC
rnacentral:rRNA from 1 species